GAUCUUUUAGUAUAUUUUUGUACAUUUGACUUCCAAUCAGAUAGUUUUAAAGGUUA
rnacentral:tRNA from 6 species